rnacentral:lncRNA from 12 species
AAUCUCAUAUUUUCUAGAACAUGAGUUCUGUAACGUAUAUUCCCCACAGGAGGACACAAGCAUGCCCCGCUAAGGAGCUUUAAGAGCUCCCGAGCUUCGUAAGGUACAUAGGAAACUGCCACUUGGGUUACUAGUAUAUACUGGGGGGGGGCGUUCAAGAUAAAUUGGCAAAGACACAGAAAUCUUGCCUGAUGUAUGAAACAUUUUCUGACCACCCUUGUUCUGAACUCAUAAACCACUUCCUGUUGAUGAUGUAUUCUUUCAGAAGCAGUUGGCUGCUUUCAUAAAUUGUUACCGUACAUGUUCACAGGAACAAAUACACUGAGUAACCCAUGCUCGGAGGUACUGGUCUAUGGCAUUCUCAGACAAUGAAACAGGGAAAUGCUAUUGAGUUUGAAGAUUACACAGUGUGAACUGUCAGUGUCUGGCAAGAAGAAUAAGGUAGAAGAUAAGAUGAAAGGAGACCAUCCUAUCCAUUAACAAGUAAUAAGAUAAACCCUCUGCAUUUCAAAUUUCAUCAAAAGACGUGCUUAACUGCAACUUAAUAA